rnacentral:rRNA from 1 species
GCUGGAGAAUUGAGGGGGGCUGCUCCUAGUACGAGAGGACCGGAGUGGACGCAUCACUGGUGUUCGGGUUGUCAUGCCAAUGGCACUGCCCGGUAGCUAAAUGCGGAAGAGAUAAGUGCUGAAAGCAUCUAAGCACGAAACUUGCCCCGAGAUGAGUUCUCCCUGAGACUUUAAGUCUCCUGAAGGAACGUUAAAGACGAUGACGUUGAUAGGCCGGGUGUGUAAGCGCAGCGAUGCGUUGAGCUAACCGGUACUAAUGAACCGUGAGGCUUAACCUUACAACGCCGAAG